UAACAAGGAUUCCCCUAGUAACGGCGAGCGAAGCGGGAAGAGCUCAAAUUUGAAAGCUGGCGUCUUCGGCGUCCGCGUUGUAAUCUCGAGACGUGUUUUCCGUGCGGCUCUAUGGACAAGUCCCUUGGAACAGGGCAUCGUAGAGGGUGAAAAUCCCGUACUUGCCAUGGAAGUACCGUGCCUUGUGAUACACGCUCCAAGAGUCGAGUAGUUUGGGAUUGCUGCUCAAAGUGGGUGGUAGACUCCAUCUAAAGCUAAAUAUCGGGGAGAGACCGAUAGCGAACAAGUACCGUGAGGGAAAGAUGAAAAGCACUUUGGAAAGAGAGUUAAAAGUACGUGAAAUUGUCGAAAGGGAAGCACUUGAAGUCAGCCAUGCUGCUUGAGACUCAGCCUGGCUUUUGCUUGGUGUAUUUCUCGGUAGCAAGCCAGCAUUGGUUUGUGUCGUCGGAGAAGCGUAUGGGGAAUGUGGCAUCCUCGGAUGUGUUAUAGCCCUGUGCAGGAUACGACGACGUAGACCAAGGAACGCAGUGUGCCCUCUGGGCGGGUCUUCGGACACCUUCACACUUAGGAUGCUGGC
rnacentral:rRNA from 1 species